UACGUAGGGUGCAAGCGUUGUCCGGAAUUAUUGGGCGUAAAGAGCUCGUAGGCGGUCUGUCGCGUCUGGUGUGAAAAUCCAGGGCUUAACCCUGGACCUGCAUCGGGUACGGGCAGACUAGAGUGCGGUAGGGGAGAUCGGAAUUCCUGGUGUAGCGGUGAAAUGCGCAGAUAUCAGGAGGAACACCGGUGGCGAAGGCGGAUCUCUGGGCCGUAACUGACGCUGAGGAGCGAAAGCGUGGGGAGCAAACAGG
rnacentral:rRNA from 1 species